rnacentral:misc_RNA from 1 species
AAGUCGUAACAAGGUUUCCGUAGGUGAACCUGCGGAAGGAUCAUUAUUGUAGGGACUCCGGUCCCCUCAAGAUGCAACCCGUGCCUUUUUUGUAGCCCGUAACGUUUCCUCGGCAGCCCCGCUGCCAGCGAGGACCCCCCCAAACCAAACCUGCAAUCUCAGUAAAAAAUUCAGAAACCCCCCAAAAUUCAAAACUUUCAACAAUGGAUCUCUUGGCUCUG